ensembl:lncRNA
CACACACCCAGGACGCCCAUAGAUCACCCACCCCAGGCCCCGUCUGCGGGCCGGGGACCACGAGGCUGGAGCCUCUGGGGAGCUGCAGGUGUGUGUAUAACUGCCAAGGCGCCGUUCCUGCACCGCGGGCCUGAAUGUCAACCUGGGGGAGGGCUGGGUCCCCCGACGCGGAGAGAGCCAAGACCAGCGAGGUCUGGGCAGGGGCCAAGGUGCUUUGCAGGGCCCGCAUUCUGCAAAAGCCCUCCAGACUGCAGAACAGCGGGGGUCUGGCUGGCGGGGGUCCCCCGGGGGCCAGUGGCUGCGGCCUCUGGGCAAGGGAAGCGGGGUGGCCCAGAGGGUCUGCCCCCCGCCCCUGAGGGGCCUCCCACCCCACGGGGGCAGGGGCCGCUGCCUGUCUCCGUCAGCGCUGCGUCCACCGCACCCUGCACACAGUAGGUGCCUGGGAAAUCCUAGCUACAUGCACAGAAGAGCUCUCCUUUCGUGCCGGGCGUUGUCCUAAGGGUCCCACUGCAUCUUCAGUCCUCACGGCGAUCCCCGAGGGGCACUGCUAGGUGGGAAGACCGCAGGACAGAAAGUCUACAGGGUGGAUUCAGAGCCGUGGUUUCGUUCUUACGUGAAGUCUUAAAACCUCGUGGUAAGUAAGUGGAUUACAGCUGACCUGGCUUCCCAAGUGGCACCAAUGGCAAAGAACCCGCUUGCCAGCGCAGGAGACGUAAGAAACGCAGGUACGAUCUCUGGGUCGGGAAGAUUCCCUGGAAGAGGAGACGGCAACCCACUCUGGUAUUCUAGCCUGGAGAAUCCCACGGACAGAGGAGCCUGGCUGGCAGGCUACAGUCCACGGGGUUGCACGGAGUCAGACACGGUUGAAGCACCUUAGCACGCACGCACAGCUGACCCAGCAUCCAGGCAGAAACCCACCGGGAGCCAGAGCUCAGCCCCGGGUCUCCCUCGUCCUCUCCCUCCCGCCACCCCAGUCCUGGCUCUGGACUCAGUUGCUCUCAGGGACCCCAGGUGCAGGGAUCAUCACAGCCCCUCCCGUUCACCCCUCACCUUUGGCCUCCACCACAUGCUGGCCCGGACAACACUGGCCCGCCUGGAGGGGCAAGCCCUUCAGCCACCCCCCGACACGCUUGGCAUGCAGGGGUCUUCCAGGCCCCCUCCCCGCCCAGUUUAUCCCUGUGGGUCCGCACAAGGCAGAGCUCUGAGCACGUGCGUGCUGCGUUUGUGACACCAGUAACUGAGGAAACACCGUGGGGGUCACCCGUCUCCAAGCCUCAGAGGUCACAGCCUGGACACCCUACGGACCCACCAUCUCCCGCGGCAUUUCAACCCUGCGUGAGAAAGGACGCCACACGCCAGCUCCAGGGCCCACGAGACACCCCAGCCACGCAGAGUUAGCCGGAAUGAUGGAAAGAGUAAACGACCCGGGUGGUUUUACGGAAACGCUUAGAUCUUAGUGAAAUGCCAAGCCAAAGUCACAACGAAAGUGUAAAAUGCCACGAAGCCAGCAGACCCAUGGCUGGCUCGUCGCCGGUGCCUUUAUCCCUGCGGAGAAGGGGACCCCCAGACAGAGACCUGGGGCCUCCGCACACCCCCAGGAGGUACUGAAAGAUGGUCACUCAGGGGCUGAAAGAUCGAGCCGGGGCUGAUCAAAGCAGUGAGCGCAGGAAAAUAAAGCCAGUUCCCACCGCCUCUCACCUUGAGCUCCAGACUCUCUAGAAACCACCCACAUAAGUGAAGGCGGUGGACGUCACCCCAUGACCGCCAUCCCUGUGGCCACUACAGUUCACUGGGCGCCUACUGCGUGGCUGGCACAGUUAGAUGCUUCCCACGUGUUUAUCCUUUCCAGCAGCCAGUUCAGGUAAGCAUCAGCUCCCCUUUAUGCCCGGAGAAACUAGAUGGGCUCAGGGAGGGUAAGUCACUUGCCGAAGGUCACACAGCUGGUGAGAGGCGCCGGUAGGGUUAGGACCAGGGCUUUGCUCAGAUCUGAGCUGGAACCCACGUCCAGCAACCGGUAUAAUGUCUGCUGGUAUCGCGGUGGCUCUGACUCGGUCGGGUCAUUCAGCCUGGUUUUCCCAGGACUUCCACUCGUGCCUGAGGACUCUGCUGCCCACCACCAACCCCGCAAACCCUGGGCUGGCAGGCUGACACUCCGGGAUCCACGGGGCACGGGCAUGGCGGUGGAGUCCUGAUUCACUGCCAGCUGGCGCAGACCCCAGCCACAGACUCUCCAGGUGCAGAGCGUGGGCUGUGAGCUACCCCUGGGCAUGUGGGAUAUUAGUUCCCAGACCAGGAAUCGAACCUGAGUCUCUAGAAUUGCCAGGCAGACUCUUAACCACUGGACCGCCAGGGCAGCCCAUUAAGGACCCUCUGACACUCAUGUGGGUGGCUGUCGUGUCAACUAAGAAAUGGAACCUUUAUUCUCAGACAGCAAUGUUAUUGCAGGCAUUUUUCCAUCAUAAGCUCUGUGGCAGGGCAGUCCUUGUUUUUAUCUAUGAAGAGUUCCUUCAGGAGCCUGCCCAGAGGAAGGGUUACGGGUCAAAGCCCAUGGACGCCUGGGGAGACUCAACAAGAAGGCCCACACAGUCCUAUGGGCCGCAGUGAGCACGGUCCUGCCCACUUUCCAGCCUCGCACACCCAGCUCCUGUCUCCCACGAGGGCGUCACUCCAUGCCAUUGCUAGCCAAUCUUGGUGGGAAGCACCUUCCCUAGCUCGGGCGGGGGUGGCCCAUCCCUCUGAGUCUGGAGUCUGGACCUGCCUGGCUCCUGAGCCGAGAAGCCAGGCUCCCUGGCUGGUCAAGUCUUCUCUGCGCGGACAGAGCUUCAGAAAACGCCACGGGGACUCAUGCAGGGCAGGCUGCAGAGAGAGAAACACCCUGUGAUUGGGUCUGUACGAAUCUCCCAAGAGAAUCACAGGCCUGCAGAUCUCAGAGCCCCGCUGCGGGGUUGGCGAGGAGGCACCCGCAGGGGACGCCCCCCUGUUGGGAAGUGCUUGGAAGGGAACCGGGAGGGAUGGUGGGUGUGGGUGGGGAGGCCGUGGCCUCCUACAAGCUCGGGGGUCCCACAGACAGCACAUCCUUCUGGGGUCCUGACCUCCCAUGCCGACCUCCAGACAGCAGCCCCGGGUGGGCAUGUCCAGGGCGCGGGCCGUGGGGGAGGGCUCACACAGGGUCUGCCCGGGCCCUCAGUGCCCUGGGCUCUGUGCUGACUUACGCAGGGGACCACCCACCCCGGGUGUCGGGGCGCAGGGCAGCUUCCUCUCUGUCCUCCCCUCCCUUCUCCAGAAGCAAAAUACAAACAAACGCCAGCGCCUCUGGAUGGUGGCUGCGGGGCCCACGGGGCUGUCCACCCACCCCGCCCAGGCCCCCUGGGCAGCUGUUCGGUGCCUCCGUCUCCCUCCCUGAAGACACUGCACCCACCUCAGGGGGUCCUUACGAGCAUCUGAGCAGCUAAGACAUGGAGACAAGCUGACUCUCCGCCAGCAGACGACGGAUAAAGACGUGAUGCACAGUGGAAUAUUACUCAGUCACUAAAAGAGGCGACACAAUGCCAUUUCCAGCAACGCGGGUGGACCCGGAGAUUAUACUGAGUCAGACAGAGAAAGACAAGUAGACGCAUCACUCACACGAGGCAUCUCAAACACGGCACUCGAGAACUUAACCACAGAGGACGCACACACAGAGAGAAGAG